AAAUGAAUUGACGGGGACCCGCACAAGCAGCGGAGCAUGUGGUUUAAUUCGAAGCAACGCGAAAAACCUUACCAAGGCUUGACAUAUAUGUGCAAACUGUAGAGAUACAGUCCUCCUUCGGGACUCAUAUACAGGUGGUGCAUGGUUGUCGUCAGCUCGUGUCGUGAGAUGUUGGGUUAAGUCCCGCAACGAGCGCAACCCUUAUGAUUAGUUGCCAAUAUUAAGUUAGGAACUUUAGUCAGACUGCCGUGGAUAACACGGAGGAAGGUGGGGAUGACGUCAAAUCAUCAUGCCCCUUACGUCUUGGGCUACACACGUGCUACAAUGGCUAUUACAAAGAGCAGCGAAACGGUAACGUCAAGCGAAUCUCAUAAAGAUAGUCUCAGUUCGGAUUGUGGGCUGCAACCCGCCCACAUGAAGCAGGAGUUGCUAGUAAUCCCGAAUCAGCAUGUCGGGGUGAAUGCGUUCCCGGGUCUUGUACACACCGCCCGU
rnacentral:rRNA from 1 species